ACGAUUGAUCUAGUCACUUAGAAAGAUGAAUUACUACAAUAAAAUAAUUUUUAUAAAUAUCUUCGGAAAUUUAUAAAUUUAUAAUUAUAAUAAUUUUUUAGGAAAGAUUAUAAUUAAUAAUAAGUAAUAUUAAAAUUAAGAAUAAAGUCUGAAAGAUAAAGACCUUAAAGGUCAUUUAUAUUAAUAUUAGUUAAUAUAAAUAGAAUAAUGAUCUUUUAUCAAUUAAAGUCUCAACUAAAUUUAGUGCCAGCAGUUGCGGUUAGACUAAGGAGGCGAACGUUAGUCAUAAGGCUUAAAGGAUCCGUAGAACGAUAAAUAUAAUAUUUAUUAGAGUUUAUAGAUGGUUAAAGAAUAGAUAUUGGAAAGAUAAUAUUUGUUGAGAAUAGAUAGACUGCUAAUGUGAAGACAUUAAUCAAAAAUAAACUGACGUUGAGGGAUGAAAGCGUAGGUCGCAAACAGGAGUUGUAUCCCUAUUAGUCUACGCAGUAAACUAUGAAUACCACAAGGAUACAAAGAUAUCCUUGUAUAUGAAAAUGUAAGUAUUCCGCCAGGUGAGUAUGAUCGCAAGAUUGAAAUCCAAGACAAUAGACGGUUACAGAUAUAGGCAGUGGAUUGUGUUAU
rnacentral:rRNA from 1 species